rnacentral:rRNA from 1 species
CGGACGGGUGAGUAAUGUCUGGGAAACUGCCUGAUGGAGGGGGAUAACUACUGGAAACGGUAGCUAAUACCGCAUAACGUCGCAAGACCAAAGAGGGGGACCUUAGGGCCUCCUGCCAUCGGAUGUGCCCAGAUGGGAUUAGCUAGUAGGUGGGGUAACGGCUCACCUAGGCGACGAUCCCUAGCUGGUCUGAGAGGAUGACCAGCCACACUGGAACUGAGACACGGUCCAG